rnacentral:rRNA from 1 species
UGGGGAAUUUUGGACAAUGGGCGCAAGCCUGAUCCAGCCAUGCCGCGUGAGUGAAGAAGGCCUUCGGGUUGUAAAGCUCUUUCAGUCGGGAAGAAACGGCGCGCUCUAACAUAGCGUGUUAAUGACGGUACCGACAGAAGAAGCACCGGCUAACUACGUGCCAGCAGCCGCGGUAAUACGUAGGGUGCGAGCGUUAAUCGGAAUUACUGGGCGUAAAGCGUGCGCAGGCGGUUCGCUAAGACAGGUGUGAAAUCCCCGGGCUCAACCUGGGAAUGGCGCUUGUGACUGGCGGGCUAGAGUACGGCAGAGGGGGGUGGAAUUCCACGUGUAGCAGUGAAAUGCGUAGAGAUGUGGAGGAACACCGAUGGCGAAGGCAGCCCCCUGGGCCGAUACUGACGCU